rnacentral:rRNA from 1 species
UUGUAGCAUACAAGGCAUACGGCUCAGUAACGCGUAGUCAACCUAACCUAUGGACGGGAAUAACCUCGGGAAACUGAGAAUAAUGCCCGAUAGAACAUUAUGCCUGGAAUGGUUUAUGUUCCAAAUGAUUUAUCGCCGUAGGAUGGGACUGCGGCCUAUCAGUUUGUUGGUGAGGUAAUGGCCCACCAAGACUAUUACAGGUACGGGCUCUGAGAGGAGUAGCCCGGAGAUGGGUACUGAGACACGGACCCAGGCCCUAUGGGGCGCAGCAGGCGAGAAAACUUUGCAAUGUGCGAAAGCACGACAAGGUUAAUCCGAGUGGUUUCUGCUAAAGAAACCUUUUGUCAGUCCUAGAAACACUGAUGAAUAAGGGGUGGGCAAGUUCUGGUGUCAGCCGCCGCGGUAAAACCAGCACCUCAAGUGGUCAGGAUGAUUAUUGGGCCUAAAGCAUCCGUAGCCGGCUCUGUAAGUUUUCGGUUAAAUCUGUACGCUCAACGUACAGGCUGCCGGGAAUACUGCAGAGCUAGGGAGUGGGAGAGGUAGACGGUACUCGGUAGGAAGGGGUAAAAUCCUUUGAUCUAUUGAUGACCACCUGUGGCGAAGGCGGUCUACCAGAACACGUCCGACGGUGAAGGAUGAAAGCUGGGGGAGCAAACCGGAUUAGAUACCCGGGUAGUCCCAGCUGUAAACUAUGCAAACUCAGUGAUGCAUUGGCUUGUGGCCAAUGCAGUGCUGCAGGGAAGCCGUUAAGUUUGCCGCCUGGGAAGUACGUACGCAAGUAUGAAACUUAAAGGAAUUGGCGGGGGAGCACCACAAGGGGUGAAGCCUGCGGUUCAAUUGGAGUCAACGCCGGG